rnacentral:rRNA from 1 species
CUCCGGAGCACCAAAGGCGCAGAAAACAUAACUUGAGUUGUGCGGGAUUACGGGCGCGGCUCUCUGCUCGUCCCUCCAUCCCCGGGUGUUGUAAUCGGCAUGCGGCUACCGGGACCAAGGCUUCACGGCCCCCGGCACCGUGCCACAACAUACCGUGAGUGUGCAGGAUGUGACCCGAAAGAUGGUGAACUAUGCCUGAUCAGGUUGAAGUCAGGGGAAACCCUGAUGGAGGACCGAAGCAGUUCUGACGUGCAAAUCGAUUGUC